rnacentral:rRNA from 1 species
CCUACGGGAGGCAGCAGUGAGGAAUAUUGGUCAAUGGUCGGGAGCCUGAACCAGCCAAGCCGCGUGAGGGAGGAAGGUACAGCGUAUCGUAAACCUCUUUUGUCAGGGAACAAAGUCGGGGACGUGUCCCCGGAUGAGUGUACCUUACGAACAAGCAUCGGCUAACUCCGUGCCAGCAGCCGCGGUAAUACGGAGGAUGCGAGCGUUAUCCGGAUUUAUUGGGUUUAAAGGGUGCGCAGGCGGUCUGUUAAGUCAGCGGUCAAAGCCCGGGGCUCAACCCCGGACCGCCGUUGAAACUGGCAGUCUCGAGUUGGAGAGAAGUAGGCGGAAUGCGCGGUGUAGCGGUGAAAUGCAUAGAUAUCGCGCAGAACUCCGAUUGCGAAGGCAGCAUGCCGGCUCCACACUGACGCUGAGGCACGAAAGCGUGGGUAUCGAACAGGAUUAGAUACCCCAGUAGUC